UACGUAGGGUGCGAGCGUUGUCCGGAAUUAUUGGGCGUAAAGGGCUCGUAGGCGGUUUGUCGCGUCGGGAGUGAAAACCUCGGGCUUAGCUCGGGGCUUGCUUUCGAUACGGGCAGACUGGAGGUAUGCAGGGGAGAACGGAAUUCCUGGUGUAGCGGUGAAAUGACGCAGAUAUCAGGAGGAACACCGGUGGCGAAGGCGGUUCUCUGGGCAUGACCUGACGCUGAGGAGCGAAAGUGUGGGGAGCGAACAGG
rnacentral:rRNA from 1 species